GGACCAACAGAAAAUUGCAAACUCCUGAGUGGAAACCUUCACGAGGGCUCCGCAAAUUGGUGCUCUCUUCUCCUGGUUUCAUCCCGCAGGAAGAGAGAGUCUCCCUAUAUGAAUGUUCACACCAUGAGAAACCUUUCUCACCCUCUCUCCGUGGAAUUUCUCUCCCCAGUUUUUGAGAUAUCCUCGACUCAAGGCCAAAGCAGUGGUUUGAAAGGUGUUUGGAAACCAAUGUGAACCAUCGUGCUUUCCCCUCCCCCACUCUGGGGGUGGGAUUUUCAGGCCAACUUUUCUGAAGCUACUUGUGAGUUAACCUGAAGUUGGAAUGCCCUCCUGAGGUCGAGGCAUAAAAGCCAGCAGCGUAAAUAGAAACUGAAGCUGAAAUAACCAUAAAUGUUCUCGAACAACUUCAAUAGAGAAAGCCUUGUUUGAUCCUCUCUAAGCUUCCUGAAACCAAGCUGAAUAUUUGUUUGUUUUGUGGUAGCUCAACUUUUUUUUUUUUUCUCAGGCCUUUUAAUGCAUGGCUGUUGUUGGUUUCUGUUUAAAAGGAAAAUGCUUUUUCUCAGUAACGAUGUUCACAUUCUGAAGUUGGUGAUACCCACUUCUAAAGGCCAUUUUAUUGUAAAGAUAAAGUUCUGCUAAGUCUUAGGAUGAAAAGAUAAAGGAUGUGGUCAGUUACCAUGACUCGUGCUUACCUCCCAAAGUGUGUCAUUUGGUGCACAUACCUCAAAACGUGUGAACAGAAAGUUUCUAGGUUUAUUUUUAUACAUGGAGAUUUGAUUCCACGGCAGAGGGAGGGUGUCAAGGUAAAUGACUGUGCAAAAAUGACAGAACUGCAUUUUGAGCUUUCCGUUGCCAGAGAUACAAAGGCCAAGUUAAGCCAUGAACACAAGGAGAAAGUGCCAGGUGUCAGGAGCAAGAAUCUUAUAUGCUGGGGAUUUUUUUUUUUCCUGGAAGCAACUGGAAACCAACUUAGUGACACUUAAGUCCUUCACCUGCUACAUGACUGCAGCCAGUGUAUGUGAGUCAGAGUGGUACCAAGAAGGGCCCUCAUCUGAAUAGCCACAAAAGUGACGGGCCCUGGCUUGGAAUGGGAAUAUUAUACUAUGUUCAGAGUCACGGCAACUUGAACUUGGCAGCCUUAUCGGCUUCUGAGAUUAUGAGUGCCCCACAGCCAAGUGCACCUGUGAGGAGAGUUGACUGUGGAGUGGGAUAUAGAUUGAGAAACCUCUUUCGUAGCUGACAAUCCAUGUAAACUCCUUUAAUAUGUGGAUGGUUAAGUAGCAGUUUAAGUGUUGGAAUUACCUGGCCCUGCUUUACCAUCUUCUAUAUAUUCAGUAUAAGACACACUGGGAAUUACUGAAAGCUUCCCUCUCCCCCCUCAAAAAGAGUGGAUGGUGCUUAGAAUUAAGAGGAUGUUUCCAGGGUGUCUUUCGUUUCCAUCAUCAAAGCAGAUAAAAUUAACUCUAUUAGAAACUGAGACCCCCUCCGUGAGGUAUAUUAGUCAUAAGUUCUCUUUGCAAAAAGGCUAGUCUUCAGAGGAUUGUUAAGAUCAGAUUUCAUGACAGACAUGUUUCAACAUAUUUGUACUUCUCUGAACAUGCUACAUUUGUUCUCAUGUGUUGUGAUUAGCUGGUUUCAGUGUUUAAUCCAUGGCAUGUGGCAUUUUUCUGUAGUAGUGUUUCUGUGGAAAACUUUAUCCUAGGCUUGUGGAAGACCAGUUAUAAUGCUUUGGAUAAAGUAUGUCCAGCAUUUCUAAAAGCUGCAGUUUCCUAAGAAAAUGAUCUACGGGCACCUAAGGUUAAAAUCUUCAGAAUUAUUUUUUGUAUUUUCUGAAAGUGAUUUUUAAAUGAAGUUGAGAAAUGGUACUAACAAUGCAUCCAAUAUUGAUAUAAUUAGAAUAUGCAUCAUACUCUACUAAAGCCAACCUUCUUUAAUAUGUUCAUAUAUAAACAUAAAGAGGUAUGUGGUUUAUUGUAUAUCCAAUUUUUCAUUUAUCUGCACCUUCUUCAGGAUCAUAUUUGGAAGGCACCUACCUGCUCACUUGCAAACAGAAUGAGACACCGUCAUGCUUUCUAAAGCGUGUUCUCUCCUGCCCUCCUCCUCCUCCCUCAGUCUGCCUUAUAUUAAGUUAGCCAAUCGAAGUCAGCGUUACAGCCUCCCCUUUGGCCUGCGUUCUCCAUCCUCCUUAUAUAAGCCUUGGUGGCCCCACACCUCUUCACAGCCACCUGGUCCGGCAGCCUGUAAUAGCUGUCUCACUCUUCCUCCUCCUCACCUGAUGCCUGCGGCUGACCCAACUGCCUCUGGGGUGUGAUCCCACAGAUUCUGAAAACAGCUGCAGCAGGCUGAGGGUGACUUCCUGGUCACGUUCAUCCAGAUACAGAGAAGGCUCUAUAUCAAUAAUGGGCAUCCUCUGAUGUGUACUUUUCUCUCAACAGUAAACACUUUAUAUGAUGUUUUUCAGUAUCUCCUGAGUAUAAGGCGCUGGGCUCUUCUCUCUUUCUGAACAGUUCUGGUUCUUUAGUCCUAGUGCAGAGACAGCCUUUGUAAUUAAAAGACAAAAAAAUGUACUAGUAAUAAUAAGAUUUUCCAAGGCAGUCACCCAGUCCUCUCUUCUGGUUUGUUUUUCUGUCUUUCCCUCACCUCCUCACUCCUGCCUUGGGACCAGUUGUGCUUUUGCUCAAUUCAUUCAGCAAACAAUUAGCAACAAAGCUGCAGGCUCUGGUAGUGAUCAAAACGCUGGCUGAAUCUGCCGAGGUCUUCCAAGCACUUAGAAGAAAGGCCGGGAUCCGCAAAGCCAGGCAGAUUUCGGGUGUCACCUAUGCAGGGCUUCAUAAGUCUCUGUCUUUUCUGGCUCGGGGAACUACCCCAUGGGGUCACUCACAAACGUGUAUGCCUUCCCUCUGUCUUCUAUCUGAGUGCGGCUUAAGGGUAUAAGCACUAAGGAAAAAGCUUAAGCCAUCACAGCAUAUCUGAGCAUAAAGGAAAGAUAGAUAAAGUCCUUGUACAAGAAAACUGAGGCCUAGAGUUGGCAAGCUAUACCCAGAAAGUUAGCAGGAAGGGCCACAGAAUGUACUCGAACAAAAGCAAGAAUGACAUGGCCCAUUUCCCAGUCAAUACCAAGUGAACCAUUUUGGAAUGAGAAUAGCUAGUUACAUCUCUUGCUAGACUCCUCUUCCAGGUCAUAAACACCUCCUACCAACAGGUUACUGAGCCCAAAAAUAAAUAUGGGAAAUUUGCGUGUAUGCUGCACUUUGUAUUUUCUGCCUCCUUCUCAAUCCUUAAUUAAGCUCCGCAGCCACCCUGUGAAGCCGGUCAUUAUCACUGGGUGAGGAAACGGAGUCCCACAGGAGCUAUGUGACUUGCCCAAGCAUACGAGCCAGACAGGCCGGGCAGGGUGAGACUUUCCAGUUUCUGAUGCCCACGCCCCAUGUGCAAUCCAGCCUCGUCACCCUGGGUCUUGGUGCAGGGAGUAAAUAAACAAACAAAUGAUCACAUUGCUUUUACUUCUGGAGAGCAAUGGGUUCUUAUUCAAAAUAGGAACAAGGGGCAAAACAAAUGGCAAGUAGUAACAAAAUUAUUGGGGGACAGUGGUGCCACCAUUCGGGGGCUUGGAAGUCUGGUCUUUCUGAAGCAGUGCAUUCACUUUUAAGUUUCUCUUUAUUGCUCACAUACCCGGGUUUUAUUCAGCAAAAGUGACACGUCUCACUAGGCAAUGGGAAUUCAAAAGUGAUACCAUGAGGUCCACCUUGUAUUAAGGUUCAAAGUCAUGUGAUCCUAUGUGAUACAGGCUGUAAUAGAGAGAUAUCUGGAGAAAUAUAGAAGUUCAGGAGAGGAAAUUACCCUCCCUGGGGAAUCAGGGAAGGUUCCAUAGAUAAGGUGACAUUUAAAUAGAAUCUGAAAAGAUGAAUUAAGAGUUUGCGAGUUGGAAGCAAGGAAAAAGAGCAUUUGGGCAGCUAUGGUAGAGGUUUGAUAAAUUAUGACUUCAGAGUCUACCCCCAUAUUCAAAUCAUGUUCCCUAUAACUUACAGUGUAAAACUAUGAAACAAUAAGCUUGGCCCUCAACUCUGGUGACAAAUAAACUCUCCCUGUCCUUUGAGAUGUCCCUCAAUGUACUUUUCCAAUGCCAAAUGAAGGUCAAGACUUUGCCAGGGUGUCUGAGAAUUCCUAGCUUUGAGAGCAUACGGGGGAGGCCCCGAAGUUGUGUUUUCAUGCUCACAUAUGGUGCGGAAUUUCUGCUUUUUACUGAUUUGUUUCAGUUUAUCCAGAUAUCUUUUACAUAGAGAAGUGUGUAUAUGCGUCUGUGUGUACAUGGCACGUAUAGGUAUAUGCUGUAUAUAUGUAUGAUAACAUAUAACGAAAUCAGCCCUUAAUUUAAAAAAAAAAACCCUAUUUCACUGAACAUUUUACUGCAGUGGGAAGAAGAGGAUGGGUAGUAAAUAAUGGGCUUCCUUCACAUUAACACAAAUGACUUCUAAUUGAUCUGUAAGGAAAUUGGUCACCUUGGCUGAUGCCUAUAAUCCCAGCACUUUGGGAGGCUGAGGCGGGUGGAUCACUUGAGGCCAGGAGUUCGAGACCAGCCUGGGCAACACGGUGAAACCCCAUCUUUACCAAAAAAUACAAAAA